GAUGAACGCUGGCGGCGUGCCUAAUACAUGCAAGUCGAGCGAACAGACGAGGAGCUUGCUCCUCUGACGUUAGCGGCGGACGGGUGAGUAACACGUGGAUAACCUACCUAUAAGACUGGGAUAACUUCGGGAAACCGGCGCUAAUACCGGAUAAUAUAUUGAACCGCAUGGUUCAAUAGUGAGAGACGGUUUUGCUGUCACUUAUAGCUGGAUCCGCGCCGCAUUAGCUAGUUGGUAAGGUAACGGCUUACCAAGGCAAGGAUGCGUAGCCGACCUGAGAGGGUGAUCGGCCACACGGGAACUGAGACACGGUCCAGACUCCUACGGGAGGCAGCAGUAGGGAAUCUUCCGCAAUGGGCGAAAGCCUGACGGAGCAACGCCGCGUGAGUGAUGAAGGUCUUCGGAUCGUAAAACUCUGUUAUUAGGGAAGAACAAAUGUGUAAGUAACUAUGCACGUCUUGACGGUACCUAAUCAGAAAGCCACGGCUAACUACGUG
rnacentral:rRNA from 1 species